CUGUCUGUCUGUCUGUCUGUCUGUCUGUCUGUCUGUCUGCCUCCCUCCCUCCCUGCCUGCCUGCCUGCCUGCCUGUCUGUCUGCCUGUCUUUCUGUCUGUCUGUCUGUCUUCUGUCUGUCUGUUUGUCUGUCUUUCUAUCCAUCGGUCUGUCUGUCUGUCUGUUUUUCACUCUGUCACUCUGUAUGUCAUUCUGUCAUUCUGUCAGUCUGUCUGAUUGUCAGUCUGUCAGUCUGUCUGUCUGUCUGUCUGUCUGUCUGUCUGUCUGUCUGUCUGUCUGUCUGUCUGUCUGUCUGUCUGUCUGUCUGUCUGUCUGUCUGUCUGUCUGUCUGUCUGUCUUGUCUGUCUGUCUGUCUGUCUGUCUGUCUGUCUGUCAAAAUUGAGAAACCUACGUCAAGAAAAUUAAAAAAUAUACUUAAAAUAAUUAGGCUUAGUGAAAACUAUUACAAAUUAUAUCACAAUUCAACUUGCACAAAACAAUUAACCAGCACAGGUUUCUUAUCGUCAAGUAUUUCAAAAGAUAGAUGGCAUUCGACGGUUCAUUUAAGUUGGUGUGCAUUCUCAAGCAUGCACACUUUCUUUAUUCUUCAAUUCGUCAAACAACUGUUAAAUACGAUUUCGAUCAUGUAAAUUCGAUGGCAGUGCGAAUAUUCCUGUUCAAUGGUGUAAUCAUCUUAAUGCAUGUGUUUUACGUCAGAUACGGUCUCGUAUUCGAAGACCUGGCUGCCUUUUCGACCGAAAAGUACAUACUUGUGUAAUUGCAAAAGCACGAUCUUUUACUAAAUUCGAACAGAUGUAGCAAAUAAUAUGAUGAUUUUUUGCAACUUUUCGUUAAAUAUCAGUGCGUCAAUGGUUGAACGAUUGAAAUACAUAUUCUCAGCAAUUGAUUGCAAGCAACACCAUUUAAAAUGACAAGAUUCUAUAAUUAACUAUUCUUACAAAAUCCAAUUUAUUAAUGUAUUUAUUUAGAAAUUCAAUUGCGUUACAAAUAUAACAAUAUAUUAUUGGUAUUGUUUAAGUUUUUGUUUGACGUUGUGGUUUUUGGAUCAUAAAAACUGUAUCGAUAAGCAAAUAUUUAAAUUGCCGGAUAAUCGGUAGAAUAUUGAGGUAUGAUCCAAGUACUUGAUGUCACUGUGUUUCCAAUAUCAUUACAAAAACUGUUAUAAUUGCGUUCAUGGCACUUGAGAGUAAAUGCAAUGUGCCGCAAUCUUAUCAUUCGUUAUAUUUAUUGUUCCAGAUUACUCCUUUAAAUAGUUUUCUCACUUAUUUCUGACGAAGAGACGAUAUUGAAAAAUGUACGAGCAUAAAUGUGCUUUUUUGUUAGCAAUUUCUUUGUUCAUGCAUAUGGCCCACUCUACAUAUACCAGCAAAAGGUUGGUUCUGCACAACGACGUGGAUAUGGCGGCAGCUGUCCAGACGUUGACGGCAAGAAUCGAAAAGAUGGGUAUGGACAUGGCGCAGCUAACGGCGCAAAACAAUCUAAUGCUGUCUGAUUAUAAUUUUGAAUGUUAUUAUUUGUAUGAACAAGUUUGCAUAGGAUUAAAAACAAACAUACUAUACUGGUUGUGUUCGGGACUUUCUUUCAGUGCAGAUCGAAGUUUCCCUAUGUUUAAAUAAGAUAUGCUAUUACAAUUUCAUGACAAUGCGCCUAUCGGGUUUUAAUUGUGUUCACCCUUCUAAAUCAUGUGCCUCAUAAUGAAUAUUUACCUGUAGCACACGAUUCGCAUAUGCAUAUCGUGUAUUUCUAAGUCAAUUUACAUUCAAGUACUGUUUCGGCUUUUUUCGGUAAGGCCACUCCAAAUUGAUCUGUUGGUCGUCGGAUUUGCCGCACCUAUUUUUUCAAAAUUGAAAAAAAAAAUACUCAUUUUUGUGUCCUUAUGUUACUGUAGCGCAUUUUGUUUUUAAUUUGUGAAAAAACCGCGAUCUAGCAGAAACGAUUUUGACGUUGAAUACGAAUGCCGAAUAUAGUGUUUCGUAACCUGUUAAAUCGAUAAGUGCAUACGCUAAAAAAGUCGAUCGAGACGACCAAACAAAUGGCUUCCUGCGCGAGCAGUAUAUUUUCGCUGUCGUAACCGUUUUAACAAAUUGCGGUGAAAAGUCGCUGCAGCGUACCCUUAAAAAUAUAAACACAUUUUCAACGUUCUGUUCAACGACUUAUUUGCAUGUGUUUGUUUACGUUCGAAAAUGCAACUAUCAGCAGAUACCGUUGAAGCAUGUUCAAUGUCAAACAACAUCGGGAAUUAUGGCGUAAGAUUGUUUAUGCUUUUCUUUCUUAAAUGGUCAUAUGGACGGUAUUUCCCUAUAUGUAGGCAAAUGUUUCCUAUAAAACAAUUAUAAGUGAACAAAAAAUAAACAUAAAAUCAUUAAAUUCUGGUUUUAAAAGUUUCACAGGGACAUUGUUUAUAAUUUUUAAAAUACAUGGUUGACGAAACAUGUUUAACAGCUAGGUCCUUGUAUUUCAGAAACAUCGAAUAAGUUCUUUGUAAUGUAUUAAUUUAUUUCAGAAAAAUACCAGACCGUUAUAGCCAUCGAUAUGCCAUUUUUAAAAUAAGGUAGCGACAAUGGAUUUUAUGCAUGGCUUUGUCCGACUGUCUGUCAUUAUCAUUUUGAUGUUUGCCCCUCUUCAAGUGCUAUUGCAACAUGGUAUACCUUUUCAAAGCUUGCAACAUGGUAAACCUUUUCACAGCUUUCACUGUUUAUAACUUCAAACAAAUAUAAGCAGCAGUAGGUAGACAUGUGCCCUCAGUUCAAUGAUAUAAUUUCAUAUAUAUUUCGUGGUCAAAGUUCAUAUGCAACUUACUCCAAUAAAUAUGAGGUCGAUAUAUAUUCUUUGUAUAAGAAUUUAUUUGAAUGUAAAAAAAGCUGGUUAAAACUGUAUUUCUUGAUAAUGCAAUAUAUUUCCAUCGAAAUGUGAUUUUUGUUAUUCUUCGCUCUUCGCUCGCUCGAGAAUUUUCCUGUUUUCAAAAAAAAUAAUAAAAAAUUCGCUCGCCUCUUCAACGUUUUUUCAAAAAAAAUCCGUAGACCAACAAAUCAAUUUGGAGUGGCCUAAAGCUCUAAAAUAUUAUAAAUUGGGCUGUUUCAAUCCGUUAGAAUUCCAAUUUCUGUUUUAUAUGUUUUAUGCCAUUUUUUGCCGAAUAAUAACAUUCCGAAAAAAAUAUGAUUGAUUUCAGUUGGUUGUGUUUAUCUGUAAUAGGUUCCGUUUACAUCAGAUGUGGACGGACAUCAUGUAAUCAACACGGAACAGAGCUUGUGUACUCAGGCUUUGCUGGAGGAAACAACGGAGGUUUAAAUGGGGCUGCCGACUAUAUUUGUCUGACAGGCGAUCCAGAAUGGGCUGUUUUCAAUGACUCGGCUCAACGAUAUGCACCAAGGGUUUUUGGGGCAGAAUAUGGUUUUGGUUUUCAGCACAGCGAUGGUGGCUCACAGUUCUUUGGAACAAAUCUCCACGAAUACGAAGCCCCGUGUGCAGUGUGCAUAUCCAACCGCUCAUCAACCGUGAUGAUUCCCGGUAGAAAAUCCUGUUAUCCAGGUUGGACCAUGGAGUACUGGGGGUACUUGGUAUCUGGUCUUAGUGAAAAUAAAUCGCCAUCAAAUUACGCUUGCCUUGACGCCCAACCAGAGUGGGAAGUAGGCGACGCAUCCGGUCAGGGCAGCAAGGACAUCUACCUUGUGGAGGCUACAUGUGGAACUCUGAAGUGCCCACCUAACGUUCAAAACCGUGAGAUCACCUGUGUUGUUUGCUCCAAAUAAUUUGCAUAAGUAUAUGUGAAAUAAAUUGUCACAUUACCAUA